rnacentral:rRNA from 1 species
AUUGAACGCUGGCGGCAGGCCUAACACAUGCAAGUCGAGCGAGCGGCGGACGGGUGAGUAAUGUCUGGGAAUCUGCCCGAUGGAGGGGGAUAACUACUGGAAACGGUAGCUAAUACCGCAUACCAUCAGAUGUGCCCAGAUGGGAUUAGCUAGUAGGUGGGGUAAUGGCUCACCUAGGCGACGAUCCCUAGCUGGUCUGAGAGGAUGACCAGCAACACUGGAACGGAGAAACGGUCCAGACGCCUACGGGAGGCAGCAGUGGGGAAUAUUGCACAAUGGGCGCAAGCCUGAUGCAGCCAUGCCGCGUGUGUGAAGAAGGCCUUCGGGUUGUAAAGCACUUUCAGCGGGGAGGCGUUACCCGCAGAAGAAGCACCGGCUAACUCCGUGCCAGCAGCCGCGGUAAUUC